rnacentral:rRNA from 1 species
UACGUAGGGUGCGAGCGUUAAUCGGAAUUACUGGGCGUAAAGCGUGCGCAGGCGGUUAUUUAAGUCAGGUGUGAAAGCCCCGGGCUCAACCUGGGAACUGCAUUUGGGACUGCAAGGCUGGAGUACGGCAGAGGGAGGUGGAAUUCCACGUGUAGCAGUGAAAUGCGUAGAGAUGUGGAGGAACACCGAUGGCGAAGGCAGCCUCCUGGGCUAGUACUGACGCUCAUGCACGAAAGCGUGGGGAGCAAACAGG